UCUCAAAAACUCAUCUGCACCCCACUCUCUCUCUCUCUCUAUUCAAUUCAACACUGAUUGUUCUUUAAUUUCUCUCUCAGAAACCCAAAUGGAUCAUGACCUUUAAACUAUAGAACUCUAAACUUCUAUCUACUCUCUCCGUCUCUCAUCCUCUCACACGUGGAGAUCUCAGUUCUAAUUUACACCUCUGGCUACUGGGCUCAAGCGAAGAAGAUAUUGCAGGAAGGGGCGGUGGUGGCCACUGAAAAAACGAAGCAAGUGAUGGUAACUGUUGUAUGUAAAUAUUACCGAUCACAAAUCUAUAUAAUACAAGUCUUUGUCGUUCAUUUUUUUUAUAUUAUUUUAUAGUUUGUUUCCUCUACUCUACUCAAAGAUCUAUGUAUGUAAAUAUAUAUACAUAGAUGUAUGUAUAUACUAAGGUUUAAAAUGGAAUCGAAAAAGGUAAACCAAUAUUUUGGGAUCAUAUAAUAUAUAUUGGCCAAAGUUAGAUCUACAAUUGUCUUUUCCUUUUUUUUCUUUUGCUCGUUUGAUAUAGUUCAGUUUCAUCCGAUCCGACCACGAAACUGAUCAAACCGAGUUUUGCAGUUUCAAAGGAUACAUCGGUCAACAAUGGGUGUGACAACCCAUCACGGAUAAUAAUUAACAUUUAAUUAAUUAAAGGGAUUUGAAUCUUAAUUGUCCAUUAUUCUAAAUUAAUUUAGGAUUUAUGAAGGUUAUGGAGACUAAUUCGUAUAUGAUUCUAUUGAGCAUUUAUUUUGGAAUUAAAAAUUGAAAACCUAAAUGGCUCAAAAGAUUAUAAUUGGUGAAUUGAAUUAUUUUAAUUUCGAGUAUUAGAUCAUAUGAGAGUUUAAUUAAAUAUUCGAUUCAAUUUAGUAAAAUUAAGAUUUGAUUAAUUGGGUCUAAAUUGGAGUUUAUUAAAUUAUGAGGAGAUUAUGAGGUUUAGUAAUUGUAAUUAUUAUGAAUUAAAUUUACUUAUGAGGUGUUCGAUUUGAAUAUGUAAUUUAUAGAAGGAGAUUUUGAGUUCAAUCUGAAAUUGAAGGCCUUAAUAAUGUAAGAAUCCAAAAUUGAUGAUGGAAAUACAUUUAAAUUGACAUUUGGAACCUUUUGGGAGUUUAAUUAAAAAUUUGAUUUAGAUCGAUACAUUUAAAUAUAAUUAAUUGGGCCUUAAUUGAAGUCAAUUAGACUAAUUAAAUUAUGUGGAAUUUGAGAUUAGUUGUAAUUAAUUUAAUUAUGCAUUAAUCAAAAUUCAUUAAGACUAAGUGUUGCAUAAUUAAAUUAAUCCUAAACAUAAAUUGAAUUAUAGAACAAUUUAGAAUUGAGGGUGUAUUUGGGUGUGGGUGUGCAGAGAAAAUUUUGUGGGUGUGUGCAUGUUAAGUGUUGUGCUGGAAGUUCUACAAGAGUGUAUGUAUGCACGUGUAAUGAGGUCAAAACAGGAGAUGUAAGUAAUAUGUGUAAUGUGAUGAAUUGAAAAGUGUGGUGUAUCAUUGAGUCCAAGAACUCUAAAAGAAAAAGAGAAAAAAAUAGAGACAGAGAGAGAGAGAGAGCUCUCACCUCAUCUUUGUUACUGGAAAAGAGCUUGCUGGAGAGUGAGAAUUCAAGAUAAACAACUAAGAAAGCAAAGGAAAAGUGACGAAUUGAAGAGAGACUAUAGAAAUUUUGAAGGGCUUCACCAAAUUCAAGAGCUUAGGUAAGGAGUUCAAGCUUAAUCCUUAUAGAUUCAUUCCUUAGCAACCAAAAUCAAGAAAUAAAUGGGUUUAAUUUAAAGAAACUAGAAGAAAUUAAGAAAAAUAUGAAGGAAAUUGAGUUAGGAUCAUGGUUUUGGAAAUUGAUUUAGAAAUUAAUUAUUUUUUAUUUGAUUUUGUAGAAUCAUCCUAUAAUAUUUGAGAUUGAGAAGGAUUUGAGAUUAUAUUCAUGGACUUAGGAAGAAAUUGGGUUUUGAACAUGAAAUGUGUGGGAGCCAGAAAAAUAUCCUAGCUAUAUGGGUAAAAUAUCCCAAACAAAUAUCAUUUAUCCCUUAUAAAAAGAGGAGACUCCAUACACAAAAGGGAGGUCAUCUCUCUCGACACUCCACCCACAGCACUCUUUACUAUCUAUACUCUUCAUCAUAGAUUCUAACUUGAUCAUCGGAGUGUCUCCGGCCGGCAACCCCUGUUGGGUGGCGCCGACUAUAUUUAUCCUUGCAGAUUACAGCAGCUAAGCUCGUCUCUUUGUUGGAGCUCAUCAACAUCCAUGUCAGAGGAUUUUUCGGGCCUCACAAUUUGCGCCGUCUGUGGGAAGCGUCUGAAAAAGUUCAACAAAGGAAAUAGCAAACAUGUAACUGUUAGUAAAAAUCCAACAAAACUUGGAUGGUGAUCUCUGUUCUCUCUGAUUAAAUUUAUUUUAAAAUUAUUUCCAAAAUUGGUUCAUGGUGCAUGUUGAUGAAAAAGUUUUAAACCAGAAGAGAAUUCAUGGGUCUACUUUUAUAGUUUUCUCUCUCUAAAAAUGGGUUUCACACUUUUCUUGAUGCAAACAUCUUUUCGGCAAUUCAAUAAAGUUGCUCGGCUAAAUCUGUACAUGGAUCUGUCCAUUUCUUUAUUUAUUCUUCAUUAUUUCUCAAAACAUAUCUUAAAGUUGAUUCUCAACAUGCAUGCACAUGUACCUAUGCUAAAAAUUUAUGUAGAAUCCAAGGCUGGGUCUUCAGGUUUUCUUUCUCAAGAGGCAUUGCCAUAGAAUGGACCAUGAGUUAUGAUAAAAAAAAAAUUAUUAUUAUUUAAUUAAUUGUGGUAGUCGGCAGGCCAUAUAUAUAUGCAUAUUUCUCCAAUUUAUUGUUUAUAUACAACUAUGAUCUUUACUAAAGUUUUUGCAUAGUUUGAGUUGGAUUGGGUCAGCAUUAUUGUUCGUCCAAAACAAAGCCAAAAGGCGAUGGUCAAGUAUUCUCGGCCAAAGAGUUGUCGAAGAAGUAUUUCGGCAAGCCAACAUUGCCAACUUGCCGACCAAGCGGUCUUGGCAAGCUGUCCAACGAUUGUUCAACAAUACCAUUCUCUUGGAGAAGCCAGCGCAUUGUCAUAAUCAUUUUGGCACGACCAAGUUGCCAAACUCAGCAAAACCAAAGGCCAAAGUGUUGCCGACCAAGUUCUCGACAAAGUCAAAAUUAUAAAUGAGGCACCAACCGUGUUUUGGCACUAGUUACCGACUAGGUGCUUCUACACACCACAAGGGACUUACCAACUCGAUGUUCUACGAUGUCCCAUUGACCAUACACCACAAUUCCAAUUGCCGACCACAUAUGCGGCAAGUCAAGAACAAAAGGUAAUUACUGCACAAGUGUGCUCGGCAAGAUAAACCCAAAGCGAAGGUCGACCACUAGCUUUCGGUAAUCAUUUCCAUGCUCAGCACACAGAAAUAUCUCUAGCUCAGCACGAAAGUCCAUAUUUGGAAGCAAUCUUUGCACUCAGCAAUAUACUACAACUUCGCCCGGGAGUUAUAAUACUGCGGCCUACACCCUUGCCCGGAGUGCAAAUCGGCAAUAAAAACUCUCAUUCCUUCUACCGCAGACAAUGAAAGUUUUGGGGCAAUUGUGGGAGCCAGAAAAAUAUCCUAGCUAUAUGGGGUAAAAUAUUCUAAACAAAUAUCAUCUAUCCCCUAACUAUGCUCUUCAUUCAUGAAUUCUAACUUGAUCAUCGGAGUGUCUUCAGCCGGUAACCCUGGUUGGAUGGCGUCAACUAUAUUUAUCCUUGCAGAUUACAACAACCAAGCUCAUCUCUUCGUUAGAGCUCAUCAACAUCCAUGUGAGAGGAUUUUUCGGGUCUGACAAAAUGGGUUACAUGCAUGUCCAUAGUCAUGGAAACUAAUUAUUUGGAUUUGAUUUUGAAUAUCUUACACGAGUGUGAGUCUAAUUCCUACAUGCAUGAACAAAUUCUACAAAUUUUAAUAUUCUAAUUGUACAUGCAUUAAAGAUUUCUAGGAAUUGAUUUCCAUGUCUUGAUGAAAAAAGAACUAAAUUUUGAAACAAAAUUAUGAGUCUAUGAAGAAUGAGCUUAAUUGUUAUAUUAAAGGGGUUUUGAUAUAAAUGGUUUAAAAUUGAUCAAGUUUUCUUAAUUAUUUGAGAGAUUGUAUAUUUUUAGACAAGCCAUAUUUAAACCUAAGUUUUGGAAUUAUAUUUUGAAAGCUUAAUUCAUAUUUUAGAACUUAUGAGUUUGAAAUUAGGUUUGAUAUGGAGGAAAUGAAUUAAAUUUAAAUUUGGAAUUAUAUUUUGAAAGCUUAAUUCAUAUUUUAGAACUUAUGAGAAUGAAAUUGGGUUUGAUAUCAAGGAAAUGAAUUAAAUUUAAAUUUGGACAAAAUAAGGAGGUUUUUGUGUGGAAAUUUGGAAAUUAGUCAUGUGUUCAUAUUUAUUACUGACCUUACAUGUUUAAAUUGAGUUAUGCAUGAAUCUGAAUUUGAAAUGAAGUUUGGAAGCUCAAACUACAGUUUUGAAACUCAGAAAAUUUACAGACCGCUCGAGGAACCAAUCAGUGGUUCGAGCGAACAUUACGAGCUUUCAAUAUUUUUACAGACAAUACAGUCCGCUCGAGCGACCAAGUAGUGGCUUGAGCAAUCAAGCUAUUUUCAACAUAUUUUGAAAAACUACACUUUGCUCAUAUUUCGAUCUCAUCUCUUUCCAAAGCAUUCUAGACACGAUCUGACAAUCAACAUAAAUUAGUUAGUUAAAGAAUAAGUCAUUGAUUUAGUAGUAAUUGAUUAAGAAGCCACGUAAGAAAUCGGUCUACUUGGAAAAGAAAGAUUUAGUAACGAAAGGAUAUGUGAAAUGAGAAUCCUGUUUAUUUAAGUAAGAAAGAAUAAGCGUAGCAGAAUUUCGAAUUACUUAGACAAAAAACAAAAAGACAAGAGAAGUCAAGUUUGUUCAAGGAAGUGAUAUUAUGUUCUAAUGUGUAUAUGUUAUGUGUUUGUGUAGGUUACGUGCUAUCGUCUGCCUGACUUGUCUAAUAUGUCUAAUAUGUCUAAUUUGCUUAUGGAGUUAUCUGUGAGUAACAACUCUGUAAAGCUAUGUUUGAUUGUAAGUAUUUUCAGACUGAAAUGAUAUGAUAUGUUUUAUGAAAUGCUAUUUGUGAAUCAUGAAUGAUUGUCCAGUUUUUCUAAAAUGUAUUUGUGCCAUCCUUAGUUCACGUAGCCCUCACUUGGGGGAAACAAUACCGUGGCUUAUGUUCAUGUGACCCUCAUCCGAGGAAAACAAUACCGUGACGUAUGUUCAUGUGGCCCUCGCUUGGGGGAUACAAUACCAUGGCUAUAUGUCCACAAGAUGUUGAACUUAUGGUCGUCGGUACCGACUAUGCAUGUGGGUCUUUUGACCAAUCUGAUAUGUUAACUAAUGGGUGUACCACGUAUAACUGUUUAGGAAAUUUAUAUAAGUAUGUGAUCCUGAAUCUGUUUCUGAUAUGAACUUUGAUUUCUGAAUCUGUGAUAGACAUCAUUCAUAAACCUUUUACUUUGUUAUUAUUCACUGGGCUCUAGUUCACUGUUUAUAUAUAUAUAUAUAUAUAU